CCCUUUUAAAAGGUUAACAAUUACAAAACCUAACAUGAAAUUCACUAUCUCAACAACCAAACACUCUCAAUCGUUCUCCUCCUCUACUUCCAGAUCCUGUUGCUUUCUUUUGCCAAUCGUUUGUUUCCAAAAUCAACAAAAAAAAAAAAUGGCGAGACUUUUCGUUUCUAUCCCUAUGUAACCCACACAAAUAAGCUUCUCUGUGUCUUCUUCUCAGCCACUAUUCUCGUGGCCGGUGAACAAUUUCCCCGAUGGUGUAGCCGGAAGAUUAUGUCUUAGACAGAGAAUCAGAGACUGUUCCGUGGUGAAGCGAGCAGGGCCUAGUACGAGCAUCUACUUGCUCGCGUUCGCAAAUUCUUGCUACUUUUGUCGCCGCCACUGUCUUCACUUCAAUCAAAAUCGCUGAUAAACUCGACGAAGAUUUCCUUGAGGAUUGUUGCUCUGUCAAAGAUAGAGAAGAAGUGGAAGGAAGAGCUUGAUCAAGAACUGUAAAGAAAGCGAACAAGUCAAGUCUUUUUUGUGACAAUCAUGAUUGUACACUGCACGUACUUGUGGUCUUCACGAUUCUAGAUCAAUAAUCAACUCGUUGACUUGUAGUAUAUGUUGUUGCAGAGAUCAUGCGCCAAGCAGGUUUGGUAUCAUCCCCAAGAGACCGAGGCUUGAGCCGACCGAGAGAGGUCGAGAUUUACAUCUCCAAGAUUGCACAUGACUUAUGUUUUUGUAUUUCAUUUGUGUAUUUUGUUGUGUUGUGGAUCUUAAACAUAUGACUUCAUGUUUUUGUAAACAAAAAAAAUAUUUAGAUUAUAUUUAUGUUCAA